CUGGGCCGGAAGUGACGUCGGCGCGCGGGCGGAAGUGGGAGAGGCUGGUGUCGGCCAGACUGAGCGCAGGACUGGCCGCCGCUUCCAUGGCGCACAUCACCAUCAACCAGUACUUGCAGCAGGUUUAUGAAGCAAUUGACAGCAGAGAUGGAACGUCUUGUGCAGAGUUGGUGUCUUUUAAGCAUCCUCAUGUUGCGAACCCACGGCUUCAACUGCCGUCUCCAGAAGAGAAGUGUCAGCAAGUUCUGGAACCUCCUUACGAUGAAAUGUUUGCGGCUCAUUUGAGGUGCACUUACGCAGUGGGGAACCAUGAUUUCAUAGAAGCAUACAAAUGUCAGACUGUGAUCGUCCAAUCGUUCCUGCGAGCAUUUCAGGCCCACAAAGAAGAAAAUUGGGCUUUGCCCAUCAUGUAUGCAGUAGCACUUGACCUUCGAGUAUUUGCCAAUAAUGCGGAUCAACAGUUGGUAAAGAAAGGAAAAAGCAAAGUUGGGGACAUGUUGGAAAAAGCAGCAGAAUUAUUGAUGAGCUGUUUUCGUGUCUGUGCCAGUGACACUCGUGCUGGUAUAGAGGAUUCUAAGAAGUGGGGAAUGCUCUUUCUGGUGAAUCAGUUAUUUAAAAUUUAUUUUAAGAUCAAUAAACUCCAUUUGUGUAAACCUCUAAUUAGAGCAAUCGACAGCUCAAAUCUGAAAGAUGAUUAUACCACCGCCCAGAGAGUUACAUACAAAUACUAUGUUGGACGCAAGGCUAUGUUUGAUAGUGACUUUAAGCAAGCUGAGGAAUAUCUGUCAUUUGCCUUUGAGCAUUGUCACCGCUCAAGUCAGAAGAACAAACGGAUGAUCCUGAUAUAUUUGCUUCCAGUAAAAAUGCUGUUGGGUCACAUGCCAACUAUUGAACUUUUGAAAAAAUAUCAUCUUAUGCAGUUUGCUGAAGUCACCAAAGCUGUAAGUGAAGGCAACCUCUUACUGCUGAACGAAGCUCUGAGCAAACAUGAGACGUUUUUCAUUCGUUGUGGCAUUUUCCUUAUUCUUGAAAAGCUGAAGAUCAUCACCUACAGAAACCUUUUUAAAAAAGUGUAUUUGUUACUCAAAACACACCAGUUGUCUCUUGAUGCUUUUCUAGUUGCCUUGAAAUUCAUGCAAGUAGAAGACGUGGAUAUUGAUGAAGUCCAGUGUAUUUUGGCUAAUCUCAUAUAUAUGGGUCACAUUAAAGGCUACAUAUCACAUCAGCAUCAGAAGCUGGUUGUGAGCAAGCAAAAUCCAUUCCCCCCACUGUCUACAGUUUGUUGACUGUACAGCUGUGAAGAUGGAAGGAGCAUUUCGUUACUUGUGUUUCUAAUGAGGCUGCCGAAGUCAGCACUGACAGCAUCAGUCAUGUUACUCACGGAAGCUUUUCAAGGCCCCCCUUUCAGGGAUGGGUAUGCAUAUUUCCUCUCUUCAUGAAAAAAUUGCUAAUGAAGAAAACUUGCUAAGAAACUGUCUUAGCUCAUCUUUGUAAAGUCAUCAAAUUUGAAAGCAGCUCUUUGUGCAGAGGAAUCAUUCUAUAAAUUUUGAAUUCCCUUUUAUUCUGUAGUAGCUACAUAGCUGAAGACUUCCAUUUGUGUACCUGGCGCCUCUGUCAGGUUCCUCCUGCUGUAUAACAAACCACUCCACAACUUGGUGGCCUCAAGUAACACACUCAUUAAUUUUGCUCAUAAAUCUGCAGUUUGUUAGGGCUCAGUGAGGACAGUUUGUCUCUGCUUCGUGUGGCAUCAUUUGGGGCGACCGUGCUGGGGGCUCGAUGGUCCACUUCCAGGAUGGCACACUCGUGUGGCAGGCACGUUGGUGCUGCAGUCCAGGGUCUGCAGUUCCACUUUACGUGGGCCUCUCCAAAGGCUCCUUGGGCUUUGUUAUGGCGUGGUAGCUGGGUUCCAAGAGUGAGUAUCCCAAAAGAAGCAGGUGGAAGCUAUGUCAGCAUUGAUGACCUAGUCUCCUUAGUUGUGUAGUAUAAGUUCUGCUUUAGUCACAUCCAGAUUCAAGCUGGGAGAACAUAAACUCCACUUCUAAACUCUGAACGUAGAAUAACGUAGCAGAUUUCAUGCAGGUGAAUCCUUGUUGGCCUCUAGAGCUGUUUCUCUGCCCACUCGGCAGCAAGGUAAACCGAGCCACCAGUUUCCAUAACAGAAAAGUGUGGCCACUAGGGCAGCCGCAGAACGAUUGCACACUGGCAAGACCAGCUCCGGGGCGUGUGCUAUAUUUCUGUAUGUUUUCUGUAGUAGGUUUAUCUCCACUGGGCCACUCUUCUCUAACAGCAUCACCUGUGGAAAUCUGAUCUUUCCACCGCUCAGCAGAAGACCUCAACCAUCCUUCAACAUCCAGUUGUUAAAGUUUUGUUUUUAUUAGUAAUUUGAAUAUUUGAAUUUCUAUAACCAUGAAUUUCAUACGUCUGGUUUUAAUAGUAGAAAGCUGAGGUUUGUCAACAUUUUCAGGCAAUUUAUUGAAUAGUGACAGUUUAAGGCAAUAUAUGUUUACAGUUAGCAAUAAAUUCACUUGCGUAUAUAUACUGUUUGUAUAAAAGUCUGUGUGCAGAGUGGCCUAGGUCAAGUACAGGAGCAUACACAAAGACAUUUAACAUUGUGUUUGUUUAUCACAGACAUCAAAUAA